AAAGCGUUUCUUAGGAGCGUUCAUAAUUAUUUUAACUUACCGAAGUGUGACAACGUCGCAAUUAGGGUGUCGAGUUCGCAGCAGGAGACCAGCUCCUCGAAGGUCAUACCGUCCACAGAGAGGGACACCGUCGAGAUGCUUCUGAAUAACGCCUCGGUGUCUAGAUCUUCGGGGAGUUUGGUGAGGAACUGAGCGGCGGUAAUGAAGUCCAUAUCUUUAAGCUCGUCCUGGUACAGGUGGAGGAUACCUGAAAGUUUAUUUUUUGUAUAUGAAUAACUAGCAGUAUGCAUCGAACAGUUUUUUAGAAAAUAAAAUAUAGACCAUGUUACGCUGAUAA